GUGUCUUCGCUGUGACGGCAUAUAUACAAAAAUUGGAAUGAUAUGAAGGAGAUUAGCAUGGCCCCUGUGCAAGGAUGACAUGCAAAUUUGUGAAGCCUUUCAUAUUUUU